GAUGAACGCUGGCGGCGUGCUUAAUACAUGCAAGUCGAACGAAGCACCUUGGACAGAAUCCUUCGGGAGGAAGACCAUUGUGACUGAGUGGCGGACGGGUGAGUAACGCGUGGGUAACCUGCCUUGUACAGGGGGAUAACAGUUGGAAACGACUGCUAAUACCGCAUAAGCGCACAGUACCGCAUGGUACGGUGUGAAAAACUCCGGUGGUACAAGAUGGACCCGCGUCUGAUUAGUUAGUUGGCGGGGUAACGGCCCACCAAGACCGCGAUCGGUAGCCGACCUGAGAGGGUGACCGGCCACAUUGGGACUGAGACACGGCCCAGACUCCUACGGGAGGCAGCAGUGGGGAAUAUUGCACAAUGGGGGAAACCCUGAUGCAGCGACGCCGCGUGAGCGAAGAAGUAUUUCGGUAUGUAAAGCUCUAUCAGCAGGGAAGAAGAAAUGACGGUACCUGACUAAGAAGCACCGGCUAAAUACGUG
rnacentral:rRNA from 1 species